rnacentral:rRNA from 1 species
UACAGAGGGUGCGAGCGUUGUUCGGAAUUACUGGGCGUAAAGCGCUCGUAGGCGGCUUUGCAAGUCGGGUGUGAAAUCCCCAGGCUUAACCUGGGAACUGCAUUCGAGACUGCAUUGCUAGAGUAUGGGAGAGGGAAGUGGAAUUUCCGGUGUAGCGGUGAAAUGCGUAGAUAUCGGAAGGAACAUCAGUGGCGAAAGCGACUUCCUGGACCAAUACUGACGCUCAUGUGCGAAAGCGUGGGGAGCAAACAGG